GUCUCCGCCCCUAGCGGGCGGCCGCCCCGCCCACGUGGGCGAAGUCACCUCCCAGAUAAAGUUUCCUGGUCUGGCACGCCCCCUCCGGAGGGUUCCCUAAGGUUACCUGCUGCAUGUGCUCUGCGGAGGCUGGGUACACCUGUAAAGAAGCUAGAGAGCGCGGGGAUGACAAAACCAAGGUCAAAGCAGCGCCCCACCUGGGGCCCGUGGAAGCAUCCGCCUAGCCCUUGGUCUGGUGCCAUUUUCCCUCGACAGAUGGGCACUGCAUCUCGCAGAUGGUGUGGCCCGAGGGCACCCCUGGGUCAUGGUCACUGGUCCCCGAGAGGUCUUUGACACACCACCCGCCUGGACACUAGGUGGGAGGACUCUGUUUGCCUCUGUGUUCAAAAAAUAGAAAAAAUACGGGACAGAGAAUUAUACAUCUUGGAACUCCUCUACUGCCUCCUACCCGGACCGUGUAUCUCCCCAUAGCAUCCUGUAUUGACCCCUUUUGUAACUCCAAACGUAGAGUCUCACUCUGUUACUCAGGCUGGAGUGCAAUGGCGUUAUCUUGGUUCACUGCAAACUCUGCCUCCCGAUUUCAAGCGAUUCUCUUGCCUCAGCUUCCUGAGUAGCUGGGACUACAAGCAUAUGCUACCACAUCCAGCUGAGUCACUUUGCAUCCUUAAUACUUGCUGUAUGAUCUUAAUGGUUUGAUAUCAGGGAGCAAAUCUGAAGUCCUGUAUGUUUUAAAUUCACAUCAGAAGAUAAGCAACAUUCAUGUUUCAAUUAUAAACACUGAAUGAAGAAAUGUAUUCUAGCCACUGGAACCUCUAAUUAAAUUUGCUUUGCUCAGGGCAACUGUCAACUUUCUUUGCCCAUACAUGUGAUUUUAGCAUGUGUGAUUUUAUCAUGAAUCACAAAUAUAAAACACUUUUUCUUCAAAGAACAAUUAGAAUGGAUUUGUUUUUCCACAGAAUCCCCCUCGCCAGGUUGCUGGUAAAGUUACACUGUAGCAGUGAAGUAAGAUUGCUCAGAUAAUCCACAUCCCAGAAGUAAUUAGCGUAGAGAUUAAGCAAGAGGGUAUCUGAAUCAUUUCAUUUGGAAGCCACACCUACUGGAAGCUGUUUGGGCUUCAAAAUAAAUCUAAUAUUGCAGACAAUCUGAUCUUCUUUUAAAAUUUUUUCUUUUUUUUUUUUUUUUCUUUUGAGAUAAGAGUCUCACUCUGUCACCCAAGCUGGAGUGCAGUGGCUCGAUCUUAGCUCACUACAACCUCCGCCUCCUGGGUUCAAGCGAUUCUCCUGCCUCAGCCUCCCAUGUAGCUGGGAUUACAGGUAUGCACCACCACACCAGGCUAAUUUUUGUAUUUUUAAUAGAGAUAGGGUUUCACCAUGUUGGUCAGGCUGGUCUCAAACUCCUGACCUUGUGAUCCACCAGCCUCAGCCUCCCAAAGUGCUGUGAUUACAAGCGUGAGCCAACACACCUGGCCCAGACAAUCUGAUCUUUAGUAUUCCUGAACAUGUUACCUUUAACUGAAAGUUUUUUGUGCUGGUAUUUGAUUUUAAUAAAAAAUUGAAUCUUCGGCUGGGCAUGGUAGCUUAUGCCUGUAAUCCCAGCACUUUGGGAGGCUGAGGGGGCCAGAUCACCUGAGGUUGGGAGUUCAAGACCAGCCUGACCAACAUGGAGAAACCCUGUGACUACUAAAAAUACAAAAUUAGCCAGGUGUGGUGGCACAUGCUUGUAAUCCCUGCUACUCAGGAGGCUGAGGCAGGAGAAUCACUUGAACCCAGGAGGCGGAGGUUGAGGUAAGCCAAGAUUAUAUCAUUGUACUCCAGCCUGGGAAAGAAGAGCAGAACUCCAUCUCAAAAAAAAAAAAAAAGAUAAAAGAAAAAGAAAAUUGAAUCUUUAUGAUUUGUGCCAUAGGAGAAGCUCAAAUCUAUGAAAUAAGUGCUGGUCGUAAAUCAUGUGUUUGUCAAUGGCUAUGUCUCAUAUUCAUGUCUUAGCUCCUCAAGGAAAACUUCCCCUUCUAAAACAGCCCUCCCUCUCAGUCACACUCUACCACAUCCUCCUGCUGUAUGUAUACCACUGUUCACUACCGGGAACUCUCUUGUUCGUUUGUUUGCUUGUUUAUGUCUAUGUCCCUUAACAACAGCACACUAUAAUAUAAGCUCCAUGAGGAAAGGGAUCUUGUAUUUUAUGUCUAAAGCAAAAACCCCAAUGCCCAACACAUAAUGACUACUUAAUAAAUGGCUAUGGAGUGAAUGAAUGAAAGUAUAAAAAGUUCAUAGUACAUUAAGCAUUAUUGUUUAGACCUAGCAGCCAAUGUUUUAGCAUAGUCCAGUAAUAAUGAGGGAGACUUAAAGAAUGAAAAUCAUGUGUAGUCUAAAAUAUAAAUUGUUUCCUAGGGUAAUGUACAGGCUUGAGGAUUAUCUUUAACACAUACUCAGUUUUUCAAAAUUACAUAAGAGUUAAGCACUUAGAGGUCCCUCAGUGACCUAAAGAGGAAUAAGUCACCUCCCUGGGAGAGGUUUCUAUGCUAAGGGGAAAAACCUCAUCACUUAAUGGAAGCUGAAAUCUUCCCUUCAGAAUAUCCUUUUUCCAGGCACUCGAAGCUAGGCAAACAUUUAUUUUGCCCUACUUAUUGUUUGUUCACUUUU